GCAUUAGCUAGUUGGUGGGGUAAAGGCUUACCAAGGCAAUGAUGCGUAGCCGAACUGAGAGGUUGAUCGCCCACAUUGGGACUGAGACACGGCCCAAACUCCUACGGGAGGCAGCAGUAGGGAAUCUUCCACAAUGGGCGAAAGCCUGAUGGAGCAACGCCGCGUGGGUGAAGAAGGUCUUCGGAUCGUAAAACCCUGUUGUUAGAGAAGAAAGUGCGUGAGAGUAACUGUUCACGUUUCGACGGUAUCUAACCAGAAAGCCACGGCUAACUACGUGCCAGCAGCCGCGGUAAUACGUAGGUGGCAAGCGUUAUCCGGAUUUAUUGGGCGUAAAGGGAACGCAGGCGGUCUUUUAAGUCUGAUGUGAAAGCCUUCGGCUUAACCGGAGUAGUGCAUUGGAAACUGGGAGACUUGAGUGCAGAAGAGGAGAGUGGAACUCCAUGUGUAGCGGUGAAAUGCGUAGAUAUAUGGAAGAACACCAGUGGCGAAAGCGGCUCUCUGGUCUGUAACUGACGCUGAGGUUCGAAAGCGUGGGUAGCAAACAGGAUUAGAUACCCUGGUAGUCCACGCCGUAAACGAUGAAUGCUAAGUGUUGGAGGGUUUCCGCCCUUCA
rnacentral:rRNA from 1 species